GCGUCCUACGGGAGGCAGCAGUGGGGAAUAUUGCACAAUGGGGGGAACCCUGAUGCAGCGACGCCGCGUGAGUGAAGAAGUAUUUCGGUAUGUAAAGCUCUAUCAGCAGGGAAGAUAAUGACGGUACCUGACUAAGAAGCCCCGGCUAACUACGUGCCAGCAGCCGCGGUAAUACGUAGGGAGCGAGCGUUGUCCGGAAUUACUGGGUGUAAAGGGUGCGUAGGCGGCCUUGCAAGUCAGGCGUGAAAACCAUGGGCUCAACCCGUGGACUGCGUUUGAAACUGUGAGGCUUGAGUGA
rnacentral:rRNA from 1 species